GACGAACGCUGGCGGCGUGCCUAAUACAUGCAAGUAGAACGCUGAAGAGAGGAGCUUGCUCUUCUUGGAUGAGUUGCGAACGGGUGAGUAACGCGUAGGUAACCUGCCUGGUAGCGGGGAAUAACUAUUGGAAACGAUAGCUAAUACCGCAUAAAAUGGAUUAUCGCAUGAUAAUCCAUUGAAAGGUGCAAAUGCAUCACUACCAGAUGGACCUGCGUUGUAUUAGCUAGUUGGUGGGGUAACGGCUCACCAAGGCGACGAUACAUAGCCGACCUGAGAGGGUGAUCGGCCACACUGGGACUGAGACACGGCCCAGACUCCUACGGGAGGCAGCAGUAGGGAAUCUUCGGCAAUGGACGGAAGUCUGACCGAGCAACGCCGCGUGAGUGAAGAAGGUUUUCGGAUCGUAAAGCUCUGUUGUAAGAGAAGAACGAGUGUGAGAGUGGAAAGUUCACACUGUGACGGUAUCUUACCAGAAAGGGACGGCUAACUACGUG
rnacentral:rRNA from 1 species